CGCACCGACUUUGAAAGCGUGAGUUGUGAAGAAAACAACUUAAAGUUUUGAACUCACAACUUUUUUAUCAUUUUUUAAACUUUUGACACAACAACUUAGUAACUUAAACUUGCCUCAAAAAUCUUUAAAAAAUCUCUUUUAUCUACUUUUGCCUAAGGAUCCUGACAGAAUGAACGAACAGAAGACGUAAUAAAGUUGGUCAUAAAACUCGUAUUUUUCUACAACAAAGCAAAUAAUAUUGAUAUACAAAUAUUGAAAUAAUUGGGAUAUCAUAUAAUUGAGAAAAGCAAACAAACAAGGUUCAUUAUAACUUCCCUGAGGAACACCAUAGAAAAAAAUUGUUUACUUUGAAUGCUUGAUCAAUAAUUGUUGUUAAAUGCAAGAAUUUAAGAAGCUUGGCUUGACCAGCGCCAGUUUGUCUAACUAUUAAAUUGACAAUUGCUCUUUUUUUUUUGCUAGAAUCUAUGAGUGAAAGUUACACCAAGUUCUUUUUUUUUAAUAAAAAAAAAAAAACAAAACGUGGGAGAAAAAUCCAGACAACAAAGUAAAACUCAGCUGAUUAAGCCUUGAUCCUUGGAUUUGUCUUUUUUAACAGCAGAUGCAGUUCCAAAAAUCAUAUAAAAUAUUGAAACAUAUUUUUUUUUUAAACUCACAUUCCUGCCACAAGACUCUGCAUUCAAUCUGCCAAAAUCAGCGAACAUAAAAAAAUAUAUCCGCAAAGAGAUCAGAUAAUCGCAGGUGUUCCCGAUAUGGAUGGUUUUAAAUAUCAAACAAAUUACGCAAGUAGAUCAUCACUUUGUCCUCAAAAAAAACAACAACAACUACAAUAAACCCAAACCACACCGUGUUGUAUAAAGAAUGAAGCACAAGCAAAUCACGUUUUUGGUCGAUCUUUGAUGAUCGAAAUAAAAUCUACAUAAUCCGAAUUCCACAGCCCGCAUAACUGGCUACACACAACCUCCUUCAAAAAUUGAUAAAGACCACAAGAAUAAAACAAAAAAUAAAACCAAACCUUUUCAAUGGCUACACAUACUUCCAUAACCGAAAUAGAGGGUAAAAACUCCGAUGGGCAUCAAGAAGUUCGUUUUAAGAAGAGAUAAUAAUUUUCAAAUGGAACGGAAAAGAAAAAUGAUCAUUGUUCAGAGAUUUUUGUCUUGAUGGUUAUUAUCCUGAUGGAGGCAACAGAAGGGCGGGCAGGAACCAUUCGUGGUGAUUCGUAGACAUCCGUAUAAUGAUAUGAAAUCCUUUCCUAGAAUUGCUGAAUGAGGU